rnacentral:tRNA from 1 species
GGCUCGGUAGCUUAGUUGGUAAGGCACUUAUCUAGCGACUAAGGGUCGUGAGUUCAAAUCUCACCUGAGCUG